UGGCUCAGUGGUUAAGAGCACUGACUGUUCUUCCAGAGAACCUGGGUUCAAUUCCCAG
rnacentral:tRNA from 1 species